rnacentral:tRNA from 1 species
GGGGCUGUAGCUCAGCUGGGAGAGCGCCUGCCUUGCACGCAGGAGGUCAGCGGUUCGAUCCCGCUUAGCUCCACCA